CCAAUAGCGUAUAUUAAAGUUGUUGCAGUUAAAAAGCUCGUAGUUGAAUUUCGGGAUCAAUACGUCGGUCGUGCUUCGGUACGUACUGGCGUCAUUGAUUUCUCCCUUCUGACGAACCAUGAUGUCAUUAACUUGGUGUCAUGGGAAAUCAGGACUGUUACUUUGAAAAAAUUAGAGUGUUUAAAGCAGGCUCACGCUUGAAUACAUUAGCAUGGAAUAAUGAAAUAGGACGUUCGAUCCUAUUUUGUUGGUUUCUAGGAUUGACGUAAUGAUUAAUAGGGAUAGUUGGGGGCAUUAGUAUUCAAUUGUCAGAGGUGAAAUUCUUGGAUUUAUUGAAGACUAACUACUGCGAAAGCAUUUGCCAAGGAUGUUUUCAUUAAUCAAGAACGAAAGUUAGGGGAUCGAAGACGAUCAGAUACCGUCGUAGUCUUAACCAUAAACUAUGCCGACUAGGGAUCGGAUGAUGUUAAUUUUUUAAUGACUCAUUCGGCGCCUUACG
rnacentral:rRNA from 1 species